UACAGAGGGGGGCAAGCGUUGUUCGGAAUUACUGGGCGUAAAGGGUGCGUAGGCGGCCUUCUAAGUCGAACGUGAAAUCCCUGGGCUCAACCCAGGAACUGCGUCCGAUACUGGAAGGCUUGAAUCCGGGAGAGGGAUGCGGAAUUCCAGGUGUAGCGGUGAAAUGCGUAGAUAUCUGGAGGAACACCGGUGGCGAAGGCGGCAUCCUGGACCGGCAUUGACGCUGAGGCGCGAAAGCCAGGGGAGCAAACGGG
rnacentral:rRNA from 1 species